CCGCACGCGCGCUACACUGACACACGCAGCGAGUCUUCCUUGGUCCGAAAGGUCCGGGUAAUCUUGUGAAUGUGUGUCUGUAUACGGAUAGAUUAUUGCAAUUAUUAAUCUAGAACGAGGAAUCCCUAAUAAAUGCGGGUCAUCAGCUCGCGUCGAUUACGU
rnacentral:rRNA from 1 species